rnacentral:rRNA from 1 species
CCUGGCGGUAUGUUUAACACAUGCCAGUCGUGCGAGAAAGUAUCUUCGGAUAUGAGUAGAGCGGCGGACGGGUGAGUAACGCGUAGGAAUCUACCUAGUASAAGGGGAUAGCCCGGGGAAACUCGGAUUAAUACCGUAUACCUCCUUCGGGAGAAAGAAGGCCUCUCUUUGAAGCUUUCGCUAUUAGAUGAGCCUGCGUAAGAUUAGCUUGUUGGUGAGGUAAAGGCUCACCAAGGCUACGAUCUUUAGCUGGUCUGAGAGG